UACGUAGGCAGCAAGCGUUGUUCGGAAUUACUGGGCGUAAAGCGUGCGCAGACGGUUGCGUAAGUCAGAUGUGAAAGCCCCGGGCUCAACCUGGGAAUUGCAUUUGAGACUGCGUAGCUAGGGUGCGGAAGAGGGAAGCGGAAUUUCCGGUGUAGCGGUGAAAUGCGUAGAUAUCGGAAGGAACACCAGUGGCGAAAGCGGCUUCCUGGUCCAGCACCGACGUUCAGGCACGAAAGCGUGGGGAGCAAACAGG
rnacentral:rRNA from 1 species